GAGUGCCUUCUCUCCUUCCUUCACCUAGUUUCAACUGUAGUAGGGCUCGUCUCAUUUGUUUUGGAUACUGGGCUUCUUUGUAAGAUUUUAUCUAAUUAAAAGGCUAAGAUAGUCUGAACACUCCAGUGAACUUGCAUUUCUGGGAACUCAAGGUUUUUUAUACCUGUCCAUGCUUUUGCUUCUGCCUAGACUGCUCUAGGCAGCCUCUCCCUCCCUUCCCCGGCCGCCCCCGCCUCUCUCUCAGCUUCUCUGUAGAGAGUUCUUGUUCAUUCCUCAGUAUUCGUGGUGGUUUAAUAAUAUGUCUGUGAGUUCUUUGAUAGUCUUUCCUUCAAAAGUUGGGGCCUCGUUGCCAUCCCCUUAAGUGUUACUAAGUGCGCUUAGGAACUUCCAAGGAAUAGACUAUGUAGAAAGCAAGGGUGUGGGACGUCCAAGCUUCGGACCUUUCCGUCUCUGUCUCUGUCCCUGUCUCUUUCUCAGUUCACUCGUUCUCGGGAAUUCACCUGCAGUCUCAUGGGCACACUGAAGCAGCCCCAUGGAGAAGCCCACUGAGAGGGACUAAGUGAGGCCACCUCCCAACAGCUGUGUGAAUGCUCCUGACGGCCGCUUUAUGGGAAAUGUUGAGCCAGCCCUUGAAUUCUGGAUGCACAGAAACUAAAUGAGAAAAAAAAAAUCUAUUUUGUGGUCAUUUGUUUUGCAAUAAUCAUAACUAAUACAGUCCCCAACUGAAAAGAUAUUUAUCUGUGAUAUGUUCCUGAAAUGCCUGAGUGUUAAUGAUUUUCUUCUUUCUCGUAGUCUUUAAUAUAUACCUUGUUUGCAGAAUUUGUUCCAUUGCAUUGUCUGUUUACAUUUCUGUCUCCUGCUGUGAGAUAUUUGUAUUCUCAGAUGUCUGGCACAGUUCUUGGCAUCCUAUACAUUGAAUAAAGAAUUAAAAAAAUAGUCCAAAUCUGAAAAAAGUCACCCAGAGAAUAAGACAAAGGGUAAAAAUGUCAUCUCUGUCUCUGCUACAGUAACUCUUAGUUUUGACCAGAGAUGAUAAAUAAGCUGAGAAAUCCUCAAAUGGAAUCAAUACUGUAUUUUCACAACGUGUGAGCAUAUAAAGCAGUUCUCUGUGCCCUUGUUUCAACGAGUGAUAGACAGUCCUGCCCAGAUGGUGUUUCUAGAAUCAUAGGGUCUGUAAGAGACCAGGAUCAAUGUUUGUUUUGUUUCGUUUGUCUCUUUUUUAGGGCUGUACCUGUGGCUAGGGAUCAAAUCAGAGCUGUCGCUGCCGGCCUACACCACAGCCGCAGCAAUGCCAGAGCCUUAACCCACUGAGUGGAGCCAGGGAUCAAACCCACAUCCUCAUGGAUACUAGUCAGGUUCAUUACUGCUGAGCCACGAUGGGAACUCCAGGAUCAGUGUUUUGACUAGGUUUAUAGAUGAGCAAGUAAGGAAUCUGUCACCAUUCAAACAAGCCCUGGAUUUAUGGCUUUGACCAAGUACAACUUGAAGAUAUAAUUUACCCAACUACAUGGGGUGUUUGUUUGUUUGUUUGUUUGUUUUCAGAAGCCAGAGCUAUAUAGAUAGCCACAUUGAAAUGGUGAAGUGGCAUCUGGUUCAUUCCAUGUGGGGCCCAGUGAUUUGGAGUGAGAAUCUUCUGGGCAUGUCAGACUACACGGGCCCUGAACAAUUAGGUAUUUAAAACUGAAAUUUAAUGAUGAGGAUAAUUUGUGUUUUUAUUUUAAAGAUUAUUUAAAUACUAGUAGGAGAAUAUUCUGGAUCAUCUGGAGGUCUGUCUAAUAGCUUAGAACUGCCAUGUAAUUUCAGGUCCUGAGUUUAUGACUCAUUGUUGCUCAACUGGCCCCUCAAGUGACAGGGCUUAACUUCUAAUGGUCUGUUUCUCAGAUUGAGGUCUGUGGCUUGUGCUUUCAAGGAUCCACAAGUUUUUACAUUUGGAAAACAAUGAUAGAGACAAUAAAUGCUUCCUCUGAGGGGGGAUUAUUGAUUUUUCAUCUGUGUAGUCAAGGGAAGGUUUUAUGAGGAGCUGGCAUCUGAGCUGGCUCUCAAGGACAGGCCCUGUAUGCUUUCUCUUAACAAAUGACAUCAAGUGUCCGUUUAAACUCUCUGCUUGAGAAACUACCCUACUUCCAGGGGCCAUUCAUUACUUCCUGGUUAUUCUUUUAGAGCCACUGCGUGUUAGUUAUAUUUAAUGAUAGUGUGGCCAAGAGAGAAGAUAGACUGGGAAUCCUGCGUGGAGAGAGGUACAGAGAAAAGGAAAGGGUGGGGCUUGGCCAGGGGACAGAAUAGUUUGGGUUAAUUGAAUGGCAGGCAAAUGUAGGCUACAGACUGGAGUGCAGUGCUGGUGAAACCCCUUGUGAAGGGUGGGCUUAAGAGUGUCCGAUGGCAAUGCCAGAUCUCUGACUNCCACAGCAAUGCCAGAUCCAAGCUGCAUCUGAGACUUACACCACAGCCGAUAGCAAUGCCAGAUCUCUGACCCACUGAGCAAGGCCAGGGAUCAAACCCACUUCUUCCUGGAUACUACGCUGCAGCACAACAGGAACUCCUAUUUUAUUAUUAUUUUUUAAGAAUUCUUACUCAUUGGUGAAGCUUUCGGGCAUGUGGAAGAUUUUCAGUUUGUGUGUCAUCUUUUACCCUUUUGCAAGACACGUCUUGUGUAUGUGCCUUGACCUUGCCGAAGGGGUGGAACUGGGCAGCCAUGUUUAAAUUGUAUAAUCAUGCCUACUCUUACCCCCACCCUAGCUGGUUAAACCCACCUGGGGACCUGAUUGUAGGAGAACCAAUCUAUUUCCUGGACCGUGGCUUGUGGGGAUUUGAAAUUUGGACCCUGAGAAAUAGUUAGUAAGAUGAGGAUGAGGAUGGUGUCGGAACGGAAAGACCGUGCCAGGUUAAGCUGUGUUGAGAGCAAGAGGAGCUUGCUGAUGGAGUUCCCGUUGUGGCUCAGUGGAAAUGAACCUGACUAGGAUUCAUGAAGAUGCGGGUUCAGUCCCUGGCCUCUCUCAGCAGGUUAAGGAUCCGGCGUUGCUAUGAUUUGUGGUGUAGGUUGCAGAUGUGGCUGGGGUCCCGUGUGGCUGUGGCUGUGGUGUAGGCCAGCAGCUGCAGCUCUGAUUCAACCCUUAGCUUGGGAACCUCCAUGUGCCAUAGGUGUGGCCCUAAAGAAAGCAAAGCAAAACAAAACAAAACAAAACAAAAAAAAACAAAACAAAAAAAAAGAGGAGCUUGCUGAAAGAGGUGAAGAAGGAAGACAAGUGGGGCAGAGAUCAAAUACAUGUAGAGAGAAUAACCCUGGCUUCCGGUUUUCUAAUUCUAGUUCUGUUUGGCUUGCAUGUAAUUUGUUUUCCAUCUGAGUUUCCAACCCGUUUCUGGGUUGCCUGUUGUAUCUUUACAAUAAAAUCCCCCACACUUUAGCUAAUUGGAGUGUAUUACUCCUUCUUUCAUCCACAUAGCACCUUUCUAAAAUAAUGCUGAAUUUUCAGAUGAAGUAUUGUUCUCAAGAGACCAUCAGGGGAGUAGUGUCAGCUCAUCAAUUUAGGCGCUAAACCAGCUUCCACCCAGGAAGCAAGAGGAAGACAGGUAUGGCUUCAGUGUAUUAGUGAGAACUCUGGAAACAAGUUGGCACGUGCAUCUUGACCUAUGCUUGCUGAGAUUCUACCUGCUGAUGGCCAAGAUCUCAGCAGUCACUAUGGUCUACACUGACCAGAGCCAAGAACAUU
rnacentral:lncRNA from 1 species